rnacentral:rRNA from 1 species
GCUCAACCGAGGAAGUGCUUCGAAAACUGGUAAACUUGAGUGCAGAAGAGGAAAGUGGAACUCCAUGUGUAGCGGUGGAACGCGUAGAUAUAUGGAAGAACACCAGUGGCGAAGGCGGCUUUCUGGUCUGUAACUGACGCUGAGAUUCGAAAGCAUGGGUAGCAAACAGGAUUAGAUACCCUGGUAGUCCAUGCCGUAAACGAUGAGUGCUAAGUGUUGGAGGGUUUCCGCCCUUCAGUGCUGCAGCUAACGCAUUAAGCACUCCGCCUGGGGAGUACGAUCGCAAGAUUGAAACUCAAAGGAAUUGACGGGGGCCCGCACAAGCGGUGGAGCAUGUGGUUUAAUUCGAAGCAACGCGAAGAACCUUACCAGGUCUUGACAUACCAUGAAAAGCUUAGAGAUAAGUCUUUCCCUUCGGGGACAUGGAUACAGGUGGUGCAUGGUUGUCGUCAGCUCGUGUCGUGAGAUGUUGGGUUAAGUCCCGCAACGAGCGCAACCCUUAUUAUCAGUUGCCAGCAUUCAGUUGGGCACUCUGGUGAGACUGCCGGUGAUAAACCGGAGGAAGGUGGGGACGACGUCAAAUCAUCAUGCCCCUUAUGACCUGGGCCACACACGUGCUACAAUGGUCGGUACAACG